rnacentral:rRNA from 1 species
UGUGACCUCAAAUCAGGUAGGACUACCCGCUGAACUUAAGCAUAUCAAUAAGCGGAGGAAAAGAAACUAACAAGGAUUCCCCUAGUAACUGCGAGUGAAGCGGGAAAAGCUCAAAUUUAAAAUCUGGCAGUCUUUGGCUGUCCGAGUUGUAAUCUAGAGAAGUGCUAUCCGCGCUGGACCGUGUACAAGUCUCCUGGAAUGGAGCCUCAUAGAGGGUGAGAAUCCCGUCUUUGACAUGGACUACCAGGGCUUUUGUGAUGUGCUCUCAAAGAGUCGAGUUGUUUGGGAAUGCAGCUCAAAAUGGGUGGUAAAUUCCAUCUAAAGCUAAAUAUUGGCGAGAGACCGAUAGCGAACAAGUACCGUGAGGGAAAGAUGAAAAGAACUUUGGAAAGAGAGUUAAACAGUACGUGAAAUUGCUGAAAGGGAAACGCUUGAAGUCAGUCGCGUUGUCCAGGGAUCAACCUUGCUUUUGCUUGGUGCACUUUCUGGUUGACGGGUCAGCAUCAAUUUUGACUGUUGGAAAAAGAUCAAGGGAAUGUGGCAUCUUUGGAUGUGUUAUAGCCCUUGGUUGUAUACAAUGGUUGGGAUUGAGGAA